rnacentral:misc_RNA from 1 species
GAAAAAGUAAACUUUCAGCUGCAUGCAACAUAGACCAACAGAUAAAAAUCAUUCAAAUGCACCAGAAAAAUGAGAAACACAGCACAACUAUAAUUCAAACCUUAAAAUAAGAAAUAUAUUUCAAUAUUAGUAGUUUCCAUCCACCUUUGCUACAGCAAGAGAAGUGCGAACAUAUGAAUGCAUACUUCGACAUAUACCAGACAGAAUAAAAAUGCUCUUUGUGCUGGAUCAUGCACGUCAUUUAUGAGCAGAAUGCAGCACAGCAAGUGAUGUAGUAGUCAUGCUUACAAAAUACAUGUUCCAAAAAUACCUCAUAGAGUCAUGUCAAUGUUACUGGUAGUUAAUAGGGGCAAUUAGUUCUGAAGAUCAUGUGGUAAUCAAACAAGAAAGACAAUGUAUCUGUCAGCAUUGAGUGGCAAAGCAGUUGCGGUCAAUUUAAAUUAUACCUUGACAACAAAC